AUUCACGCAAAACGGAAGGCCUGCCAAUCCCCCAUAUGGAAGGCCUGCCAAUGAUUCACCAUAUCGAAGACUUGCCAUUGAUCAACCAUAUGGAAGACCUGCCAGUGAUUCACUAUAUGGAAUGCCUGCCAAUGAUCCAAUAUAUGGGAGACCUGCCAAUGAUCCACCAUAUGGGAGACCUGCCAAUGAUCCACCAUAUGGGAGACCUGCCAAUGAUAUACCAUAUGGGAGACCUGCCAAUAAACCCCAUGAUCCUUCCUCUGCUUAUCCUAUAGAUUACUUUUCUAAAAGAAGAGAGUAUCCUAUUGGAAGUCCUUUUGCUAGCAAUGCUCC
rnacentral:lncRNA from 1 species